CACAGCACCGGUUAGUCUCGGGAGCGGAAACGCAAAUCGGCGCCACGGGACUUGAGCUUACUCUGGUCCCAGACCGCCCUUCCGCAGAGAGGUCAACCCCGGGCCAAUGGGUCAGUUGGUUCAAUCAGGGACCCGAGGAAGACAGAAGCAGAAAAUGUGGAACUUUUAGAACCGGGUCCGGCCCAGCCGGCCUGAACCAGGCUCUGUGGGAAUUACCCAGAACCGCCCAGCCAAAGAUGGGAGUCACACUGUAUGAUCAUUAUAUUGCCAUUGUUAUAUCAUACUCUCCCAAGCGCUCAGUACAGUGCUCCGCACCCAGUAAGCACUGGAUAAAUAUGAUGGAUUAUCUCAAAUCGGAAUUCUGAGCCUCUCCUAGCACCUCCACUUGAACAGGCCUCAAGGACCCGUCCACUUCCUUUUGGCCGUUUGGAUGCUCAAGCAGUAUCUAUCUCAGAGUCCCAUUUCAUAGAACCAUCAAGUGGCCUCGGUGAAUGGAAUGGAAUUUCCCAAGAUUUGCUUACAGGGCUUUGAAAUGAUCUUCUCCCAACUCCUUGUAACGGUGGCCAAGCUCACUCUUCUGAGCAUCUCUGCGGAACAGUUCCCUGGAGUGAGCUGAGCUGAAGAGGAGGAGGACGGAGAUGAAGGUGACCCACUUCAUCUUGCCAGUUGUUGGGCUGGAGAGUGGAGCAAAGGUAGGACGACUGAAGGAAA